CUACGGGGCGCACCAGUGGGGAAUAUUGCACAAUGGAGGAAACUCUGAUGCAGCAACGCCGCGCGCGCGAAGAAGGCCUUCGGGUCGUAAAGCGCUUUUCUGAGGGAUGAGAAAGGACAGUACCUCAGGAAUAAGCCUCGGCUAACUACGUGCCAGCAGCCGCGGUAAAACGUAGGAGGCGAGCGUUAUCCGGAUUUACUGGGCGUAAAGCGUGUGCAGGCGGUCUGGCAAGUUGGAUGUGAAAGCUCCCGGCUCAACUGGGAGAGGUCGUUCAAAACUACCGGACUCGAGUGUAUCAGAGGGAGAUGGAAUUCCCGGUGUAGUGGUGAAAUGCGUAGAUAUCGGGAGGAACACCAGUGGCGAAAGCGAUCUUCUGGGAUACUACUGACGCUCAGACACGAAAGCUAAGGUAGCGAACGGGAUUAGAUACCCCAGUAGUC
rnacentral:rRNA from 1 species